rnacentral:rRNA from 1 species
GCGUGCCUCAGACAUGCAAGUCGAACGAGAAAGUUCCCUUCGGGGAGCGAGUAAAGUGGCGCACGGGUGAGUAACACGUAGGUAAUCUACCUUCGGGUGGGGAAUAACGCAGGGAAACUUGCGCUAACACCGCAUAAUGCAGCGGCACCACAUGGUGACAGUUGUUAAAGCGGGGGAUUUUAGGACCUCGCGCCUGAAGAGGAGCCUGCGGCGGAUUAGCUAGUUGGUGUGGUAACGGCUCACCAAGGCGACGAUCGGUAGCUGGUCUGAGAGGAUGAUCAGCCAGACUGGGACUGCGACACGGCCCAGACUCUUACGGGAGGCAGCAGUUAGGAAUUUUGGGCAAUGGGCGAAAGCCUGACCCAGCAACGCCGCGUGGGUGAUGAAGGCCUUCGGGUCGUAAAACCCUUUUACGGGGGAAGAAUAAUGACGGUACCCCGUGAAUAAGCCCCGGCUAACUACGUGCCAGCAGCCGCGGUGAUACGUAGGGGGCAAGCGUUGUCCGGAUUUACUGGGCGUAAAAGGCUCGUAGGUGGCUCGUCCAGUCGAGCGUGAAAUCUCCCGGCUUAACUGGGAGGGGUCGUUCGAUACUAGCGGGCUCGAGGCCGGUAGAGGGAAGCGGAAUUCCGGGUGUAGUGGUGGAAUACGUAGAUAUCCGGAGGAACACCAGUGGCGAAGGCGGCUUCCUGGACCGGUUCUAACACUGAGGAGCGAAAGCGUGGGGAGCGAUCCGGAUUAGAUACCCGGGUAGUCCACGCCGUAAACGGUGGGCACUAGGCGUCGGGGGUAUCGACCCCUCCGGUGCCGCAGCUAACGCAUUAAGUGCCCUGCCUGGGGAGUACGGCCGCAAGGCUAAAACUCAAAGGAAUUGACGGGGGCCCGCACAAGCAGCGGAGCGUGUGGUUUAAUUCGAUGCAACGCGAAGAACCUCACCUAGGCUUGACAUGCUGGAAGUAGAACCCCGAAAGGGGAACGACUCGUAAAGUCGAGAACCAGCACAGAUGCUGCAUGGCUGUCGUCAGCUCGUGCCGUGAGGUGUUGGGUUAAGUCCCGCAACGAGCGCAACCCUCGGCGCUAGUUACCAUGUCUAGCGCGACUGCCCGUACUAAACGGGAGGAAGGUGGGGAUGACGUCAAGUCAGCACGGCUCUUACGCCUAGGGCUACACACACGCUACAAUGGCCGGUACAGAGGGACGCCAAGGGGCGACCCGGAGCAAAUCCCAUCAAAGCCGGUCUCAGUUGGGAUUGCAGGCUGCAACUCGCCUGCAUGAACGCGGAGUUGCUAGUAACCGCAGGUCAGCACACUGCGGUGAAUACGUUCCCGGGCCUUGUACACACCGCCCGUCACGUCAUGAAAGUUGGAGACACCUAAAGUCGGUGGGCCAACCCGCAAGGGAGGCAGCUGCCUAGGGUGGAGCCAGCGAUUGGGACG